rnacentral:ncRNA from 1 species
AGCCCAGAACCGUGAGGAAACGGCCCCUUGCGGAUCGGGAAUUCAACCUAAAGGAG